rnacentral:antisense_RNA from 1 species
GGGACUACAGGCAUGCGCCACCACGCCCAGCUAAUUUUUGUAUUUUUAGCAGAGACAGGGUUUCACCAUCUUGGCCAGGCUGGUACCAAAUUCCUCACCUCAAGUGAUCCUCCUGCCUCAGCCUCCCAAUAUUUGUAUACUUUUUGAAGUCACACAUCUUCCUGAAAAGUGGAUAGAAGUUUUCAACCUUCUUCGCAGGAUGGAGGGCAGACACAGAACUUCAACACAAUGACAGGGGCUUCAAACGACUAAGUUCCGUCCAGGUACCCUUGGAGACGUGUGCUGCUGCGUGGAAGAUGACUGAGCAUGAGACACGCAGUGCCCGACCGUGUGGAGCCUACGUCCUAGAGAGGAGGCACAGGAACACCAGACACAAGAACGGGAACUGAGUCACCAGCGGGGAAGACAGACCUUAACCAAGUAGCUUCACUAAGAAACAGAAGUGAUUAAAAGGGAAGAAACGUGGUUGUCUUAAGGCAAGUCACAAAAGAAUAUGAUGUGCUCUGGGGUAACCAAGGCAGGCUUCCCUGAGGAAGUGACCCCUGAACUGAGACCUAUAGACUGAUUCAGAGUUAAUGCAUCAUACAGCCCCAGAUGGAGAAUCAGUAUGUGCAAAAGUCCAGAAGAAACCUACAGCAAGACCAGCACAGCCCAACAGCCCCAGAGAGGAGCCCCACGUCCUUUAGGGUGAGCCCAGGGCUGACCUAAGGAGAUCCACAACAUGGCUGAGAAAGACGGGGCUGUUGUCCAGGGCCCACCUGGGGCUGCAGGGUAUAGGCAGCUUCCAGCAGGUACUGUCGGAGCCCCGGGUCCCGUUUCUGCAGCGUCACGGCCGCGAACACAGGCAAUGAGAGCAGGUAGGGCUGGCCAGACACCGGCCAGGUCACUCCAGUGCACAAUCGCCAGCCCCAGGUGUAGGACACUGCAGAGAGAGGUAAGCAGGCAGCACUGGUCAGUGGAGACUCAGAGGGCUCUGGGCAUGGGUGCCCGCAGCUGCCACAUCAGCAAAGAAAGCUCUUCUCUAAUUUCUUCUGAUGAAAGGCACCAUGUGGACAGGACUCCUGUGAGGCAGUGGUGUGUAGACCAGGGUUUCUCUGCCUCAGCACUGCUGACAUUUGGGAUCAGAUCAUCUUAUUUGGGGGCUGUCCUGUGCAUUAUGGGAUGUUUCGCUGAAUCCUGGAUCCCCAUCCACUAGAUGCCAGUAACCCCUACCAACAACCAAAUAUUUCUGCACAUAUUACCAAAUGUCUCCUGGGGGGUCAAAACUGCCCCAGCUGAGAACCCCUGGUAGACUUUUUUUUUUUUUUUCCAGACAGAGUCUCAGACUGUCACCCAGGCUGGAGUACAGUGGCACAAUCUCGGCUCACUGCAACCUCUGCCUCCCAGGUUCAAGUGAUUCUCCUGCCUCAGCCUCCCGAGUAGCUGGGAUUACAGGCACGUGCCACCACGCCUGGCGAAUUUUUGUAUUUUUAGUAAAGAUGGGGUUUUACCAUAUUGGCCAGGCUGGUCUUGAACUCCUGACCUCAGGUGAUCUGCCUGCCUCAGCCUCCCAAAGCGCUGGGAUUGCAGGCGUGAGCUACCAUGCCCAGCCCCUGGUAGACUUUUUAAAAAGAGUGUCAGGCAAUACUGUGUAGAACACAGGCUCUGCAGCAAGAAUGCCUGGUUCAUAUUCCAGCUUGGCCACUUCCCAGCUGUGUGACCUUGGACAAAUUACUUAACCUCUCUGGGUCACAAUGUUUCUUUUUCAUUAUUAUUAUUGUUACUGCUCCCCCGACUCACUGUAAAGGCCUCAGUCUUUCUCAUCUUAAACUGCUAAUGAUAAUAGUUCCUGCCUCACGGCAUAGCUGUGAGGAUUAACAGGUCAGUAAGUGUUGAGAGCAGCACCGGGCCUACAGUAAUGUCUUUGGUAGUAACUCUUAUCCCGAUUAUAAAAAUAUAUUUGUUAGCUGGAUGUGGUCGCUUACACCUGUAAUCCCAGCACUUUGGGAGGCCAAGGCGGGUGGAUCACCUGAGGUCAAGAGUACAAGACUAGCCUGGCCAACAUAGGAAAAGCCUGUCUCUACUAAAAUUUAAAAAAAUUAGCCAGGCGUGGUGGCAGGCACCUGUAAUCUCAACGACUCAGGAGAAUCGCUUAAACCCGGGAAGCAGAGGUUGCAGAGAGCCGAGAUUGCGCCACUGCACUCCAGCCUGGGUGACAGAGGGACACGCUAUCUCAAAAUAAAUAAAUAAAUAAAAUAAAAAUGUACUUGUUGCAGGAAAUUAGAA